rnacentral:rRNA from 1 species
AUUGAACGCUAGCGGCAUGCCUAACACAUGCAAGUCGAACGAGUGGCGGACGGGUGAGUAAUAUAUCGGAAUGUGCCCGGUGGCGGGGGAUACCUACUGGACACAGUGGCUAAUACCGCAUACUAUCGGAUAGGCCGAUAUAGGAUUAGCUAGUUGGUGGGGUAAAGGCUCACAAAGGCGACGAUCCGUAGCUGGUCUGAGAGGACGAUCAGCCACACUGGAACUGAGACACGGCCCAGACUCCUACGGGAGGCAGCAGUGGGGAAUAUUGCACAAUGGGCGAAAGCCUGAUGCAGCCAUGCCGCGUGUAUGAAGAAGGCCUUCGGGUUGUAAAGUACUUUCAGCGGGGAGGCGUUACCCGCAGAAGAAGCACCGGCUAACUCCGUGCCAGCAGCCGCGGUAAUUC